rnacentral:rRNA from 1 species
UACAGAGGGUGCGAGCGUUAAUCGGAAUUACUGGGCGUAAAGGGCUCGUAGGCGGCCAACUAAGUCAGACGUGAAAUCCCUCGGCUUAACCGGGGAACUGCAUCUGAUACUGGAUGGCUUGAGUUCGGGAGAGGGAUGCGGAAUUCCAGGUGUAGCGGUGAAAUGCGUAGAGAUCGGGAGGAACACCAGUGGCGAAGGCGGCUCGCUGGGACGGUACUGACGCUGAGACGCGAAAGCGUGGGAGCAAACAGG